rnacentral:tRNA from 1 species
UGCCUUGAUGGUGAAAUGGUAGACACAGUUGAUUCAAAAUUAAUUACUUAAAUAAAGUGUGGAGGUUCGAGUCCUCUUCAAGGCAG